ACGCUCGACACCUACGGGAGGCAGCAGUCGGGAAUAUUGCGCAAUGGAGGAAACUCUGACGCAGUGACGCCGCGUGCAGGAAGAAGGUUUUCGGAUUGUAAACUGCUUUAGACAGGGAAGAAAAAGACAGUACCUGUAGAAUAAGCUCCGGCUAACUACGUGCCAGCAGCCACGGUAAUCUGAGCGGGCUGGCAAGGC
rnacentral:rRNA from 1 species